GGGUCCUCCAGAAAUGGUUUCUUAAUGAGAUGUGAAGUUAUUUUGAAUGAGAAUUAACAGCAUAUUAAGAUGCUUUAUUACAAUCUCACUAAGUAGAGGAAUCUGCUUUCCAUACUUUCUUCCUUUCUGUAUGAAUCUCCAGGUAAUAGCUCUUCACUGGAACUAGGUCAACAGCAGCAUCACCGGACUGACCCGUACAAACUGCUUGUUACUUGACCGUGAGGUACUGUGCAAUGCAUUCCGUGAGCCGGCUGGUAUUAUUGUAACAUAUUAGACAUGGGGACUCUGGAAACUCCAGGGAGACUGAGCAGUUUGUCCGAAGGCACACAGCUGGCUACACCCCUGCCUUGGAUUUCCUCUUCAGGACUCCUGUUUGCUCCCAGGAGAUUGGGAAGAUACUAUCUAGAUACCCACAAGAGUCCCACUGGCUAGAAAACGAGGUGCAGUAAGGAGGCACCCGAGAAGACCAUCAAUCUGUCAUGUAAAAGGGGAGACGUGGUGGGGGAGAAAGGAGGUAAUUGGAAUUGAGCUUCACUUGGGACUCUUUCUCCAGCGGGAAGUGUAGCUGGAGAAAUACAGAGCAGAGCCAUCCCAAAGGUGUAUUGUACGGCUGGAAGAUUCUUCUCUGCUUCCCCAUUUGCUGAAAUAGACCCUGGAUGGUCUAUUCAGGAGGUGCUCCAUAACUGUGGAAUGGAUGAAAGUGUGUGUUCCCCAAGUGUACUUCAAGAAAGGAAAGAAAAAAAAUGUCCCCUCAGUGACCACCCUCUUUAGGCACAGUCUACCUGUCACUGUGGCUUCAAGGAGCAACAAAGGAAGAUGGCCCUACUGGCCUUGAAUUUGCAUACAAAUGGCCAAGCCACAAAUGAGAUCUUUGAAAGCUGUCAGGGACCUAAGGAGUGUUUAAGGCAGAGAUUCCCAGAAACGGGGCUGCAGGUGUGGCCAGAGCAUUGCAAAGUUUUCACUAGCCUUCAGUGAAAUGGGAAAAACAGGCACAAAGGAGUGCGUUUUCAUAGAGCUCCAUGCAUUUUCUGUUAGAUUUCUGAGAUUGAGUCCUUCUACAUCAUUUGACAAUGAAAUGCCAUUUCUUUUAUAAAGUUAUGGUAACAGACAAUAGCAUUAAAGGAAAAAAAUACC